rnacentral:rRNA from 1 species
UACGUAGGGGGCAAGCGUUGUCCGGAAUUAUUGGGCGUAAAGAGCGCGUAGGCGGUCCGAUAAGUCGGCUGUGAAAGUCAAGGGCUCAACCCUUGAAAGCCGGCCGAUACUGUCGGACUAGAGUCCGGAAGAGGCGAGUGGAAUUCCCGGUGUAGCGGUGAAAUGCGCAGAUAUCGGGAGGAACACCAAUGGCGAAGGCAGGUCUCUGGGCAGUAACUGACGCUGAGGAGCGAAAGCGUGGGGAGCGAACAGG